AACGAACGCUGGCGGCAGGCCUAACACAUGCAAGUCGAGCGAGGACUUCGGUCCUAGCGGCGGACGGGUGAGUAACGCGUGGGAACGUGCCCUUUGCUUCGGAAUAGCCCUGGGAAACUGGGAGUAAUACCGAAUGUGCCCUUAGGGGGAAAGAUUUAUCGGCAAAGGAUCGGCCCGCGUUGGAUUAGGUAGUUGGUGGGGUAAUGGCCUACCAAGCCGACGAUCCAUAGCUGGUUUGAGAGGGUGAUCAGCCACACUGGGACUGAGACACGGCCCAGACUCCUACGGGAGGCAGCAGUGGGGAAUUUUAGACAAUGGGCGCAAGCCUGAUCUAGCCAUGCCGCGUGAGCGAUGAAGGCCUUAGGGUUGUAAAGCUCUUUCAGCGAGGAAGAUAAUGACUGUACUCGCAGAAGAAGCCCCGGCUAACUCCGUGCCAGCCGCCGCGGUAAUAC
rnacentral:rRNA from 1 species